ACUGCGGUGGAUGCAGUGAAAAUAUCCUGCAUCUGAUGUUGAGAAAGAAAGGACGAUCUUGCCCACCACUGAGGUCGAGCUGCGAUCCUUGCUGAGAAAAAUAUGAUCAUAAGAAACUGGAGGAACUUACGCUGCGUAAUCCAUAAAAUCACUGUGGCGGUGAGCACGAUAGAUAGAUCAUUCAUGGUUGAGAUCAAACUUGGAAAUAACCGGACUCUAUUGGGCCAAUCACUACAAACUGGAAAAGGUCAUCGCGAUUUUUCACACCUCACUUAUUGCAAGCUCGGAACAAUUGAUUCCAUGGAUUAAGCGGCCAAGGAUCGCAGCUCGACAUCAGUGGCUGGCAAGAUCGCCCUCUCUUCCUCGACAUCAGACACGCUGGAUCUCUUCACUGCAUCCACCACAGUGCUAGGAGCAGGUGGGACUGGAGUAAUUUACGCAUACUCUCUACAUGACGGGCCAGCCAUGUGCAAUUCCAUUCCUUGUGCUGCAGUAGAUUACCAAGUC